UACGUAGGGCGCGAGCGUUGUCCGGAUUUAUUGGGCGUAAAGAGCUCGUAGGCGGCUUGUCGCGUCGUCUGUGAAAUCCCACGGCUCAACUGUGGGCUUGCAGUCGAUACGGGCAGGCUGGAGUUCGGUAGGGGAGACUGGAAUUCCUGGUGUAGCGGUGAAAUGCGCAGAUAUCAGGAGGAACACCGGUGGCGAAGGCGGGUCUCUGGGCCGAUACUGACGCUGAGGAGCGAAAGCGUGGGGAGCGAACAGG
rnacentral:rRNA from 1 species